rnacentral:rRNA from 1 species
UACAGAGGGUGCAAGCGUUGUUCGGAAUUACUGGGCGUAAAGCGCGUGUAGGUGGCGAUGUAAGUCGGGUGUGAAAUCCCUCGGCUCAACCGAGGAAGUGCACUCGAUACUGUGUCGCUUGAGUGUUGGAGGGGAUGGCGGAAUUCCCGGUGUAGAGGUGAAAUUCGUAGAUAUCGGGAGGAACACCUGUGGCGAAGGCGGCCAUCUGGACAACUACUGACACUGAGACGCGAAGGCGUGGGGAGCGAACGGG